AGAGGCUAAAAAGGAGAGAUAACUGGGAAAAUCACAGUUGGCAAGAAAAACAGAGAAACAACAGGAACAGUUAUUGGGAGAAUAAUUGGAAAAGGAACCAUAGAUGGGAUGAGCAUCAGACCAAUAGACGGAAUUGGGAUAAUUGGAGGAAUAAAGAAGGGAAUAGAGACUACUGGGACCUAAAGAGACAGACUGAGAGAUUGGAGGCAGACGUGAAA